CCUACGGGAGGCAGCAGUAGGGAAUCUUUCACAAUGGGCGAAAGCCUGAUGGAGCAACGCCGCGUGCAGGAUGAAGGCCUUCGGGUUGUAAACUGCUUUUAUAAGCGAGAAAUAUGAUGGUAACUUAUUAAUAAGAAUCAGCUAACUACGGGCCAGCAGCCGCGGGCAUACGUAGGAGCCGAGCAUUAUCCGGGGUGUCUGGGUGUAAAGAGUUGCGUAGGUGGCAUAAUAAGUAGCUAGUGAAAUCUGGUGGCUCAAACAUUCAGACUAUUAGCUAAACUGUUAAGCUCGAGACCGUGAGGGGUAACUGGAAUUUCUAGUGUAGGAGUGAAAUGCGUAGAUAUUAGAAGGAACACCAGUAGCGUAGGCAGGUGGCUGGGACGGUUCUGACACUAAGGCACGAAAGCGUAGGGAGCAAACGGGAUUAGAUACCCGUGUAGUC
rnacentral:rRNA from 1 species